rnacentral:hammerhead_ribozyme from 1 species
UUCCAGCUGACGAGUACCAAAUAGAACGAAACGCGCAUCCUGGAU